GGAGAAUUCUCAUUUACCUCUGCAACUGGUAUUACUUAGUUCUUUAUCCUAACACGUGGGGUGGGGGGGGUAAAGGGAGAGGCAUUUCAAGUACAGAUACUAUAUUGUUUUAUCUUUUAAUGUUUCUGUUUCCCUUUGCAUUAGUGGUGGUAUUAGUGUGGAUAUGCUACAAUUUAGGGUAAGUUGUGUUAUAUCCAGAGCCAGAGAUAGGAAGAUGUGGUCUUAUUAAAAAAAAUUUUUUUUCCUGUGGAGAAAUAUCUGAAUUUACUUAGAAAUAUCAAAAAUAGUCUGAUGCUAUAGUACUUGUGGUUAUUUUGGCCUUCCUUAUUUUAGAUGAAGCUAACGUGAACUGUAAUCAGUCACCAUCUUCAAGGAAAUAAUGUUUGGAGGAUAAAUUUUGUGUGCAUCAUCUAAAAGCAAAUCUCUUUAAUCACAAAGCCAAAAGGAAAGGAUGUGUUCUUUUUUUCCAUGUUUCCUGUUGGAUCUUAAAGCCGAGUUGGAGGAAUCGUGAAUUGGCAAAUUCCAAGAAAUGAAGUAAUUUUGAUCAUAAAGCAAAAUCUUUUCCUUUGAGAGUCCUUUCUCAGGGUAGUAUAAUGAUGUGGAGGCACUGGUUUUAUUUACAAAGAGAGCCUUAAGUAGGUUGACCUUCUAGUGAUUGUCUCCAAAAAAAAAAAAAAAAGGAAUGUGGUGGGAAAAUCUUUUGACAUUCUGAAGAUCUGUUUUUAAUUUUUUUUUUUCUUUUAACAGUUUUUAUGUUUUGAGAGAGAGAGAGAGCAAGAGAGCGGGAACAUGAGCGGGGGAGGGGCAGAGAGUGAGAGAGAGAGAGAGAGAGAGAGAGAGACACACACACACACACACACACACACACAGAAUCCUGAGCAGGCUCCAGGCUCUGAGCUCUCAGCACAGAGCCCAAUGCGGGGCUCGAACCCAUGACGCAAGAUCAUGACCUAAGCCAAAUUUGGGCAAUCAGCCUACCGAGUCUCUCAGGCGCCACUGAAGAUCUGUUUUUCUAAAAGGAGUAAAAAGUUCUUCCUUACAGUUAAUCUCCCAUUCACUUCUGUCUUGCUAAUUGCCAGAUUCUUUUUUUAAAAAAUAACUUAAAAUUUUUAAUUGUGGUUUAAAAAAAGAUACAAUUUGCCGUCUUAACAAUUUUCUAAAUGUACAGUUCAGUUAGAGUCAGAGUAUUCAUGUUGUACAACAUCUCCAGAACUUUUUCUUGCAAAACUGAAACUACCUAUUAAACAACUCCCCAUUUCCCCAUCCCCCCCGGCAACCACCACUCUACUUUCUGUUUCUAUCAAUUUGUCUACUUUAGAUAUCUUACAUAAGUGGGGUCAUACAGUAGGUCUUUUUGUGACUGGCUUUAUCUAACUUAACAUACUGUCCUCAGGUUCAUCCAUGUUGUAGCAUAUGUUAGAAUUUCCUUCCUUUUUAAGGCUGAAUAAUACUUCAUUGUAUGUAUAUACCGCAUUUUCUUUGUCCAUUCAUUUGUUGAUGGGCAUUUUUGGGUCGCUUCCAUCCCUGGCUAUUGUGAAUUAUGCUGCUGUAAACAUGAAACAUCUCUUUGAGAUCCUGCUUUCAGUUCUUUUGGAUGUAUACCCAGAAGUGAGAUUUCUGGAUCAUGGGGUAAUUCUAUGUUCAAUUUUUUGAAGAAUUGCUGUACUGUUUUCCAUAGAGGGGGCACCAUUUUACAUUCCUACAACAGUGCAGAAGGGGUUCAGUUUCUCUACAUCUUCAGCAACACUUGUUUUAUGGUUUUAUUAUUAUUAUAUAGUAAUUGUCAGUGUUUAACACUAACCAUAACCAUCAAAGUUUUUAGUGUCCCGGGGUGUACAAGUAUGAGAUUUGUGUGCUGUCUAAAAAGCUAGAGUGUUUUUUUUUUUUUAAUGUUUAUUUUUGAGAGAGAGCAUGAGCAGGGGGAGGGGCAGAGAGAGAGGGAGACACAGAAUUUGAAGCAGGCUCCAGGCUCUGAGCUCUGUCAGCACAGCCUGACGUGAGGCUUGAACUCAUGAACUGUGAGAUCAUGACCUGAGCUGAAGUUGGACGUUUAACCAACUGAGUCACCCAGGUGCCUCAGAAUCUUUGAGAUUUUGAAAGAUGACACAGUACGUAACCCAAAGAUAAUCACAGUGAGGUAAGGUAGCACUUUAAUAAUUAAGCACAUUAUGUCUGUAGUAAAGCAAAUAGUUACACUGAGUGGGAUAAAUUAAGACCAUAAGUAAACACUUCAGAUUCUGCUUUGCCACCCAUUGAGUUUGCACAUACAACCUCUCUCUUUUCAACUCGAAUUAGACUUUGAGAGCUUUUAGAUUUUGGAAUUGUGGAUUAGGGUUUGUGGAUUCACAUGUACAAAGCAUUUGUAAACACCAUGUAAAUGUUAGGUGCAAAACUGAUGUCUUCCUAUACUUUAUGACUUUUGGUUUGCCAUUAUUUAUAAGAAUGUUAAAUAGACGUUAAAUCUUUGUAGUUUAAAGUGGACAAGGUAGGAAGCCACGUGUAACCAUAUGUAUUUUUCACAUAUUACUAUCGCAUUUGGGUUUCAAGUCUACUCUUAUCUUCCAGUUGUAGAAGCACAAGAAAGAGGAUGAGGUGGAACAUAAAAGUUCUCUGUUCCUCUUAACUCCACUUUGCCUUUCCUACUUCCUCAUAGAAGAUCUUUAAGUACAUCUUCAAAGAUUUUAAAUAACUUCUGAAAUGUUUUGUUGUUGUUGUUGUCACUUGUGGCUUUUGCCUUGACUUGCCUCUCUUAGUUUCACAUUAAAUUACGCACACAGAGAAAGCCACCCUGUGGAUCUUAAUCUUUUGAUCUGCUUUGCUGCUGAUGGAUCAUUUCUGGGACAUCUAGUGGUGUAGAAAACCUUAAGUUUAAAGGAACUUAAGCACUGCUAAGAUUUUAGUUUUCUUGUCCAAAGGGAGGAGCCUCCUGAGUUUAUGUCUGUGGGGUUAGAUAUUUUGUGUGAACUCAUGGCUGUGUUAUGAUUGGCCUGAAAAUCUGGUACAUCUUAUCCUAUUAAAACCUUUUGAGAAUCUGUUAAAGCUCUUAUAGUAGGAAAUAAUUUGACCUUUAGAUUGUCAUCUUCUUUGUCUACCUAAUACAUGUGUUAUCUGGUUGAAGUUUGACCAGAAGGAGAAUGUGGAAAUGUUUGAAAGAAUAACAAGAUAACCAGGUACUGGAAGCAGAAACUGUAUACUCUAUAAAAGGACAAAUUUAACAUUUCAAGGGAAAUGUUAUAUUUAUGUCUGAAAGGAAUAGACCUUGACAAAAGUAAAGACAUAGGUAUUUAGAUAUUUCAAGAGAAUAACUUCUUCUAGAUUAGUUUGUUGACCUAUUGUCUGAACUAUAAAUUCUGUUUUUACCUGUAAAUCAGUAAUCCAUAUGUUCCUAAAAAGAAUUAUUUUCUCUAGGAAAGCAGAUAAUUGAGGUUUUUAGGUUUUUCUUUCUCUCUAACAUUUAUGAUUUAUUUUGUUUUUUUUUUUUUAAUUUUUUUUUUAAUGUUUAUUUUUGAGAGAGAGAGCGCAAGCAAGCAGGGAAGGGGCAGAAAGAGAGGGAGACACAGAAUCCAAAGCAGGCUCCAGGCUCUGAGCUGUCUGCACAGAGCCUGACGUGGGGCUCAAAACUCAUGAACUGUGAGAUCAUGACCUGAGCCGAAGUUGGACGCUUAACUGACUGAGCCACCCAGUCCCUCCCCUCCCUCCC